ensembl:lncRNA
GGUCGGGAGGAAGACAGAGACAGACAAACCAACAGAGAUGGAAAGACCAAUGGGUGCCACGGAGAGAGGGAGGGAAACCCCAGUGUCCGCCACUUCCCACUCAGAUGAGUUCACAGGACAAAGAAUGGCGUGGACCGGUCCACACGCUACAGGAAAAGGGAGGAGUAUCUGCCCUAUUCACUCUAAGGAAGGUGGGGUGCAGGCCACAGCCUAGACCAGCCCAUUCCAUGUGAUGGGGGUGUGUGCAUACAGAUCAGUCCAUCCUACUGGACAAGGGUAUUUCAGGCCAGUCUAUUCUAGUGUUUGGGGGUGGGGAAGAUCAUUAAGGUCGAUCCAUUCCACAUUCAGGGAGGGGGGAUUAGAGGGCAGGGGGCAUCUACCCUGGUCCCUCUUUCAGUACAGGGAAUGAAAACGGGGAAAGGCAGAUUUCGGCUAUAUCCAUUUUCUGGGGUCAUCAGUGACUCUGGUGGGUAGCAUUUGGAGGAGAUCUAGGAAAAUUCAGGGACAUGUUCCCUCCACAUUCUCCAGAUCAAGGUCGUUGGGAAUGAUGGCUCUCAGGGAAUGGGGCAGUCUUCCCUUGGUGGGGCGGGUGCCCAUCUUUUGUUAUUAGGGCCCUCAAGAUGAGAGGUACUUGUGGAGACCCAUUGCUCACUGCAAAGUUCCCAUGUCCUGGGGACUUAGGGCUACCCACACUCAUUUCAGGGACCUCAGGCUCAGGAGUCUCUCCGUAGAUUUGGGUUCCCCUGCCCCAGCUAAGGACCCUGUUUGUUUGUGGUCCCCCAGCUCUGGGGCCUGUGUGGGUUUCUGGUGGCCUCGACUUCUCCAGUCAGGGUCCCCUCAUUUCAGGGCCUGUGUCUGGAUUUGGAUUUGGAGGGCCGGGGCCUCACUCGCAGUACUGAGGUCCCCUGGUCCAGGCCGAGUCCAGGUGGCUGGGUGGAGGGCAGGGCACGGCCUGGCAGUCAGUCCAUGCCCCGGUGCAGCUUCAGGUGCCUGGAGAGGUUGCUGAGCGUGAUGAAGCCCUUGCCGCAGAUGUGGCAGGGGAAGGGCCGCUCGGUGCCAUGCAGCAGCCGGUGGCGCUUGAGGUAGCACUCGUGGCGGAAGAACUUGCCGCACUCCAGGCACGGGAACGGCUUCUCGCCAGUGUGCACCAGCACGUGCCGCUCCAGGUCUCGCGGCGAGCGGAACAGCUUCUCGCACUCGGAGCAGCCGAAGAUCUUCUUGCCAGCGGCCAGAGCCAGACGGGGCUCCCCGGACGCCGGCUCCCCUUCCCCGGCCGCCGCCUCUCCGCCACCUCGCCCGUGGCUGACCCGCCGAUGCUCCUCUCCGGCGGCCAGCACAGAGCCCGCAGUGGCCGCAGCCGUGGGUGGCCGGGCCCGAAUGGGCCUCCAGGUGGCUGGCCAGGGCGGCCGACGCGAAGAAGGUCCCGCAGUCGCACUGGUACAGGGUGUCUUCCGAGGGCUCGGCGGCCGCUGCAGGUGCAGGCGCCUCCCCACCGCCCUCAGGGAGCAGCCCCGAGCUUGGGCACGCCCCGCGGGGCCCAGGAGCAGCCUGCCGUCCGAGGUCGGAGGAGCGUCGCCUCCGCCCAGCGCGCUUUGCUCGCCGUCUCGGGCCCUGCACCUGCCCCCGGCCCAGCCCUGCGCUGGGCGGCCUGCCCUGCAAGUCGGCGUCAGCUUGUGCCGCUCCAGCAGCGCGAGAAGUCGCCGCGCUGGCACUUGAAGGGCUUCACGUCGGUGUGCGCCGCCCAGUGGGCCGCCAGCUCCGGCCGUGGUCGGCGCUGGCGCCGCGCAAAUGGGGGCAAGGAGGCCGCGGCUGCAGCUGCCGCCUCUGCCAGCCCCCAGCUGCCC